rnacentral:rRNA from 1 species
UACAGAGGGGGCAAGCGUUGUUCGGAAUUACUGGGCGUAAAGGGCGCGUAGGCGGCCUUCUAAGUCGAACGUGAAAUCCCCGGGCUCAACCCGGGAACUGCGUCCGAUACUGGAAGGCUUGAAUCCGGGAGAGGGAUGUGGAAUUCCAGGUGUAGCGGUGAAAUGCGUAGAUAUCAGGAGGAACACCAAUAGCGAAGGCAGCUCGCUGGGACGAUACUGACGCUAAGGGCGCGAAAGCGUGGGGAGCGAACAGGA